GAUGAAGAACGCAGCGAAAUGCGAUAAGUAAUGUGAAUUGCAGAAUUCAGUGAAUCAUCGAAUCUUUGAACGCACCUUGCGCUCCUUGGUAUUCCGAGGAGCAUGCCUGUUUGAGUGUCAUUAAAUUCUCAAUCCUCUCUGGGUUUUUUCUCAGUUAGGAUUGGAUAAUGGGGGCUUUGCUGGCUUGAAUAAGGUCAGCUCUCCUAAAAUAUAUUAGCAAGACUCUUGUUGCAGCCUUCUAUUAUGGUGUGAUAAUUAUCUACAUCAUAGAUUGCAUGCAGUAAAAAAAAUGUCAGGCUUCUAACAGUCCAUUGACUUGGACAAACUAAUUGACAAAUUUGACCUCAAAUCAGGUAGGACUACCCGCUGAACUUAAGCAUAUCAAUAAGCGGAGGA
rnacentral:misc_RNA from 1 species